UACAGAGGGGGCAAGCGUUGUUCGGAAUUACUGGGCGUAAAGGGCGCGUAGGCGGCCUUCUAAGUCGAACGUGAAAUCCCUGGGCUCAACCCCAGGAACUGCGUCCGAUACUGGAAGGCUUGAAUCCGGGAGAGGGAUGCGGAAUUCCAGGUGUAGCGGUGAAAUGCGUAGAUAUCUGGAGGAACACCGGUGGCGAAGGCGGCAUCCUGGACCGGUAUUGACGCUGAGGCGCGAAAGCCAGGGGAGCAAACGGG
rnacentral:rRNA from 1 species